rnacentral:tRNA from 1 species
UGGGAGAUGGUGCAAUGGUAGCACGGCUGACUCUGGAUCAGUUAAUCAAGGUUCGAAUCCUUGUCUCCCAGCCA